AUGGGGCCAUCCCUUUCUCCCUCCCUGACUUUAGGGUACAAGGACUUGUAAGCGGAGCCUCUGUUGGGCACGACUGUCCUCUGCUCCCAGGCUCCCCGGGGCACGGAGCUCAGACACGGCUGACACAGACCACGCCUGCCUUUUGUAGUGCCUCUCUCUCUUUUCUGUCCCUGGGCAGAGGAUGGACCAGGCCACCGCUGUGCUAGGGGCUGGCAUGUAUGUGCCAGCUUUCCUGUGGGUUUGCUUAGGGCCCCAAGAUGAACACCUGGAAUUAAGAGACCAGCUGGCAGCAGCUGGGCGGAAGCGCACAGGGUGGGCACCCCUGGGCUGGGGCUGCUGCUGGCCACAGGGGGAGACCUUCCCGGGGGUCAGAGAAAGCUGGGCAUGCGCCACACUCUGUGAGAGCAGGGGUGGUUUGUGAAGCAUCCUUAGGCCUCUGUGGAGAAGGCAGUUUCUCUGACCCAGGAAACAACAUCAGACCCACUCAGGUUCAGAAAAGGACAGGACCAACUUAAGAAGCAGGUUGAACUCCUAAACACCCUGCUGGAGUGACUGAAGGGGGUUAGGAGGCGCCUGGGGCGUUUUCCGUGUCUGCACAGAGAACCGACAACGGGGACUAUUCCUGCUGUUGCGAAAGAAUGGGCCUGGAAACCUGCAGAGCAGGAGAGACCGAGACUGAGGAGGGGCCUGGGACAGAGGACCCGCCAAGACGGCCGGCUUUGAAAGCUUCACCAGGAGCAGCUUCUGCUCAGACUUCAGUUGUGAGGCUGAGUCUCCACUGGGAGACCCCUGUGGGGACCUGAGGUUUGUCUCUGAGACAAGACAGGAGGAUCUGGGGUCUGAGAUUAAAGGGCAGGAGGAAGCAGCAGUCACAGUGACCACUGGGGCAGAGGAACAAGACCCCCAGCACCUCCGUGGGUGUGGAAGUGGAGAGGGAGCAGGGCACCUGGGAACUGAGUGGGAGCACUCAGGCCUUGCUCAGUGUCCCCUUCCAGGGGCAGCACAGCCAUCAGCAGGAUUCACCUGGACCUCUGCCCCCAUCCUGCCUGGGAGACUCUCUGCUUGGGGACAGGGUGGAAGGGGCUGGUUGCCCUGGGCUUCUUCCCUGGCUCUGCCGACCGGAGAGAAGGUGUGCUUCCUACCAAAGUUCCGGCCAUCCUACGCGGCAUGGGGGCUGCUCUCAGAGUCAGGUGAUAACACACAGGAAAUAUCUUGUUCUGGCUGCUUCCUCUGAGUUUCGACUUCCCUCCACAGGCAGCCUGCUUUUGUUCACUUUCUAGAAGCCUCAGGCAGUUGUUCUUUGAAUAUUGUCUUCACAGAGAUGUCUUCCCAUCCAGUUUAUACAGAGAGAGCUGGAGAACCCUAUUGUCUCCUCCGGAUGGCAGGCCCUGCCCUCUCCACCCAGGUGUGGAGGUGUGUGCUGAUGCCCUGGGAGCUGCCCUGGGAGGUGCAGGCUGAAGGGUUGUUAUCAAGUGGCCCAGGUCCUCAGAAACGUCAGGUCUCCUGCAGCUCCCAAGGACACAGGCGUGUCCCCCUAGAUAAAACCACAGCCAGAUUCCUUUGUGGCCAACAGCCCACAUCUGAGUCCUGGUAGUUGGGGAACUGACAAGAGUGAAAGUCUUAGUGGCCACACUUGGCCUUGGCUGUCCAGGGGGGAUGGGGUAGAAGCUCUCCUUCUAACCUGAUGCCCAACUCAGCCUCUAUAUCCACUGCAGAGGCAAUGGAACCACAAUCCACCUGCUCUGCCUGGUUCCGGGAAUGCUCCUCCAGGUUCUGCAGCCCCUUUGACUGGCCCGGGACACCCCAUUCUUCCCCUGAGACAUCAGGACCCAGCUCUGGGGUCCCCGGGGUGGGUUCUGUCAGUCAGCUGUGUCUUCCUUGGCUGUCCAGCCUCCUCUGUCCCUUUCUCAAGACACCUGAAUUCCUUGGGCUGGGCAGGAGAAGAGGGACUGUGUGCAGGAGAAGAGGGACUGUUGAUCAAGGUGCUGGCCCUUGAGGAAGCCAGGUCAGCUGGACUUUCUUUGAGGAGCCGGACUCUCAAGUGAAGUUUGUUAAGGCGUUAAAAUGCAGUUGGAUAAAAUUUGUUUGGUGGCACCUCCUUAACAAGACGGCAGAGAUAUUCCUGGUGCUCAGUUCCUGGAGCUGCUUUUCUUCGUGCCUGGUUCUGGGGAUAUUUGCAGGCUCUGAGUCCAGCCCCUGCCCUUUCAUGAGCCAUUGUGAUCCCAUCAGUGAAGUCCUUUUCUGUCUAACCUGGAUAAAGUUGGUCUCGCUGGCAAAAA